rnacentral:rRNA from 1 species
UACGUAGGGACCAAGCGUUGUUCGGAUUUACUGGGCGUAAAGGGCGCGUAGGCGGCGUGUUAAGUCACUUGUGAAAUCUCUAAGCUUAACUUAGAACGGUUAAGUGAUACUGAUGUGCUAGAGUGCAGAAGGGGCAACCGGAAUUCUUGGUGUAGCGGUGAAAUGCGUAGAUAUCAAGAGGAACACCUGAGGUGAAGACGGGUUGCUGGGCUGACACUGACGCUGAGGCGCGAAAGCUAGGGUAGCAAACGGG